UAGAUAAAUGCGCGAUUAAGCAUGAAACGAACCGCAGCCAAGAACAUGUGCGUAGGCGAUCGAUAAACUUUGUCGUCAAAAUUGAUAGGGUACAACGCAUGGGCAAUGGGAUUCAGACUGCCGUUCCGAGCAUGCUCGGACAGGCAUGCUCCCGAGGCUACCACUAUCUCUUUCCAACGUAUCCUAUGAAGGAGGAACUCCUGGGGGUUGACUGAGAGCUGCCUGUGAUUGGACAGACUCGUAUUGGAUCUACUCUAUGGAUACUCUGCAUAGAAAGGGUAGCUCAGUUUGCUACAGGCUUUCGUUGGAUUUGUCUCGCAGAGUGCUUUUUAUCAAACAAUAGGGUGUUGGAAGUAUCUGAAGCAGUGGUGAUUCUGAUAGAUUGAGACUAAGAAAAAGAGAAGAAAGUUGGUGCAGCUUAUAUUCAUUCUACUACUUUGCAUACAGAAAUCUCAGCAAAAAAGGAAUAGUCAGUUUUAUAGUGAAGUUCAACAGUGAAAGAGACAAGUGAUGUGGUUUUAAAUAGUUCAGGUAGUUUUUGAUAAUUGUAAAUGG